UGGUUCUGGCAUCGAUGAAGAACGCAGCGAAAUGCGAUAAGUAGUGUGAAUUGCAGAAUUCAGUGAAUCAUCGAAUCUUUGAACGCACAUUGCGCCCUUUGGUAUUCCAUAGGGCAUGCCUGUUCGAGCGUCAUUUGGACCCUCAAGCACAGCUUGGUGUUGGGUGUUUGUCCCGCUGCGUGCGUGGACUCGCCUUAAAAGCAUUGGCAGCCCUUGCCUUGGUUGGGAGCGCAGCAGAAUCCGCGCUCUACACCCGGCGCACUGGGCACCCAGAAGCUCGUUACCACGCUUGACCUCGGAUCAGGUAGGGAUACCCGCUGA
rnacentral:misc_RNA from 1 species